GUUUCAGUCUGUGCUGCUUCUCAUUUGCAGUUUUUCUCUUUUUCCCUAUCACUGUUCUAAUUCCUUUAACCUAUUCAGUUUUUCUAAUAAAUUAUUCCUUCUCCAAAUAUGAGAUUAUGUUUGUAAAAAGAAUAAUAUUUACUGCUAAGAUACUUGAAUUCAUUGGAAUAGUAGGACUGCAGAUCUAAGAAAACCCUUAUAUGAUAAACGCUAAUUUCCGUUUCUUGCCCCUCUCCACCAUGACCCCAACAGGGUCCACAGCAGAUUGGUGAGAGGUUCAGAGCUCCAUUGCCCCUCCCACAGCCAAUUCCAAUUCUCUUUUUAGACUUUGCAAAGGAGGCAUGAGGGCUCCAUGGACUCCUGGAUUUCAGUAAGACCUCCCAGCUCUGUGUGUUCCCGAUAAGUCUGCCUCCCUAACACAGGCUUAAGGGAAGGAAGCCCAGAGAGCUCAGACCUCUUGCUGGCAGUUAUCAGAAAAUCCCUACUGGAAGUGAUGAUGCUGAUGAGAAUGGUCAUUAACAUUUUACAGCACUUUCCAGUCGAUAAUGCCGUUUCUCAAAAUGAAGCUCAUUUGAUUUUCACAAGGUCUCUAUAAGGUAUCUUCAUUUCCCGAACUCCUUUAUUUAUCAUUGCCUAUACUUCUAUCAGUGGUUGUUUAUUAGGGAUGUAUGUCCAAGCCACCUGGGAUGCUAAUUCAGGAAGUGGGUCUGGGAUUAGGCCAGACUCCUUUUCUAAUCUUCUCCAUUUUAACACGCACCACCAGGAUCAGCUUGUAUGAAACAUUUUAUAUGCUGUUUUGCAUAUAUUUGUGUUCAAGUUUGGUUUUCCCAGCUAGGUAACAGUUAUUAAAUGAAUAAUAGGGCUAAUCAAAACAAAACAGAUCUGUAAAAUAGGAUUCUUAGAAAGUAAAACUUGAUAUUAAAAUUUUACAAAAAACUUCCAUUUGUCCAGAGUUUAAUUCAAUUCAGUUAAUUUGACAACUUUUAAAAAAGUACUAUGUAUUAAGUGUUGCAAAGCUUCCAAGCUGAGUAAAACAUGGUCCUUGUCCUCAAAGAACUGGCAAUGUGAAAUGUGAGAUAAAAAAAGCAGAAUCUAAUCACAAAAGGAAAUUCUUAGGUUAAUUGAGAAUUAUUACAGUUACCAUAAAGAGGCUAUCAGUGGCUGAAGAAGUAAGAAUGCAGUAUAAUAUACCUGAUACCCAAAACCCACUGUAUGACUUACAAUAUCCUUUGGAUGCCUAUUGAAGAAGUAUGAGCUCUCCCUCUCCUCUAAUGUGCUAGAAAUCUGGAGAGCCUGUCUUUUGUGGGAGAGAACCAGACACACUAAAUAUGGGAAAAUAAAAUAGCAUCCAAGGACAGUGCAGAUUGCAAAGAAGGGAAGGCCUGAGGCAGGUUUAAGUAGCCAAUUCGGGGACAGAAAACUAGAAAAACAAGUUAAUAGAAAAUGGGAGAAAACUGGGGAUUAAUUCUGGAUCUCAGAAUCGUAUGGCUUUGCUCAGGUUUCUGUGUAGUCCCAGGAAAUGUUUGCAGGCAAUAUUCUAUGUGCAUAUAAAGGGGCUGUGACAGAUGGACAACUCAGAAAUAACUGCAAAAAUAUUAGGGAAUGUUAUA
ensembl:lncRNA